UACGUAGGGGGCUAGCGUUGUCCGGAAUCAUUGGGCGUAAAGAGCGUGUAGGCGGCCCGGUAAGUCCGCUGUAAAAGUCAAAGGCUCAACCUUUGAAUGUCAGUGGAUACUGCCGGGCUAGAGUCCGGAAGAGGCGAGUGGAACUCCUGGUGUAGCGGUGGAAUGCGCAGAUAUCAGGAAGAACACCAACGGCGAAGGCAGCUCGCUGGGACGGUACUGACGCUGAUGCGCGAAAGCCAGGGGAGCGAACGGG
rnacentral:rRNA from 1 species